rnacentral:rRNA from 1 species
GGGUUGUGAGGUUAAGCGACUAAGCGUACACGGUGGAUGCCCUGGCAGUCAGAGGCGAUGAAGGACGUGCUAAUCUGCGAUAAGCGUCGGUAAGGUGAUAUGAACCGUUAUAACCGGCGAUUUCCGAAUGGGGAAACCCAGUGUGUUUCGACACACUAUCAUUAACUGAAUCCAUAGGUUAAUGAGGCGAACCGGGGGAACUGAAACAUCUAAGUACCCCGAGGAAAAGAAAUCAACCGAGAUUCCCCCAGUAGCGGCGAGCGAACGGGGAGGAGCCCAGAGCCUGAAUCAGUGUGUGUGUUAGUGGAAGCGUCUGGAAAGGCGCGCGAUACAGGGUGACAGCCCCGUACACAAAAAUGCACAUGCUGUGAGCUCGAUGAGUAGGGCGGGACACGUGGUAUCCUGUCUGAAUAUGGGGGGACCAUCCUCCAAGGCUAAAUACUCCUGACUGACCGAUAGUGAACCAGUACCGUGAGGGAAAGGCGAAAAGAACCCCGGCGAGGGGAGUGAAAAAGAACCUGAAACCGUGUACGUACAAGCAGUGGGAGCAC